rnacentral:rRNA from 1 species
CAGGACGAACGCUGGCGGCGUGCCUAACACAUGCAAGUCGAACGGAGUAUAAAAGGAAGCUUGCGAAUUUAUACUUAGUGGCGGACGGGUGAGUAACGCGUGGAUAACCUGCCUGAUAGCCUGGGAUAACAGCUGGAAACGGCUGCUAAUACCGGAUACGCUUGCGGAGUCGCAUGGCUUUGCAAGGAAAGCUUUUGUGCUAUCAGAUGGAUCCGCGUCCCAUUAGCUAGUUGGUGGUGUAGAGGACCACCAAGGCGACGAUGGGUAGCCGGCCUGAGAGGGCGAACGGCCACACUGGGACUGAGACACGGCCCAGACUCCUACGGGAGGCAGCAGUGGGGAAUCUUCCGCAAUGGGCGAAAGCCUGACGGAGCAACGCCGCGUGAGGGAAGAAGGCCUUCGGGUUGUAAACCUCUGUUUCAGGGAAGAAGAAAGUGACGGUACCUGAAGAGUAAGCUCCGGCUAACUACGUGCCAGCAGCUGC